UACAGAGGGUGCGAGCGUUGUUCGGAAUUAUUGGGCGUAAAGGGCGCGUAGGCGGUGCGGUAAGUCACCUGUGAAAUCUCCUGGCUCAACUGGGAGCUUGCAGGCGAAACUGCCGUGCUGGAGUGUGGGAGAGGUGCGUGGAAUUCUCGGUGUAGCGGUGAAAUGCGUAGAUAUCGAGAGGAACACCUGCGGCGAAGGCGGGUUGCUGGGCUGACACUGACGCUGAGGCGCGAAAGCUAGGGGAGCGAACGGG
rnacentral:rRNA from 1 species